ACGCUGGCGGCGGCCUACACAUGCAAGUCGAGCGGAAACGAAGAGGUGCUUGCACCUCUGGCGUCGAGCGGCGGACGGGUGAGUAAUGCUUGGGAAUAUGCCUUAUGGUGGGGGACAACAGUUGGAAACGACUGCUAAUACCGCAUAAUGUCUACGGACCAAAGUGGGGGACCUUCGGGCCUCACGCCAUAAGAUUAGCCCAAGUGGGAUUAGCUAGUUGGUGAGGUAAUGGCUCACCAAGGCGACGAUCCCUAGCUGGUUUGAGAGGAUGAUCAGCCACACUGGGACUGAGACACGGCCCAGACUCCUACGGGAGGCAGCAGUGGGGAAUAUUGCACAAUGGGCGCAAGCCUGAUGCAGCCAUGCCGCGUGUGUGAAGAAGGCCUUCGGGUUGUAAAGCACUUUCAGUAAGGAGGAAAGGUUAAGUGUUAAUAGCGCUUAGCUGUGACGUUACUUACAGAAGAAGCACCGGCUAACUCCGCGCCAGCAGCCGCGGUAAUACGGAGGGUGCGAGCGUUAAUCGGAAUUACUGGGCGUAAAGCGUACGCAGGCGGUUUGUUAAGCGAGAUGUGAAAGCCCCGGGCUCAACCUGGGAACUGCAUUUCGAACUGGCAAACUA
rnacentral:rRNA from 1 species